CCCUUAGAUGUUCUGGGCUGCACGCGCGCUACAAUGUCAUGAAAACCGGGAUGCUUUAACGAAAUUUAUUGCGAAACCCCAACUCAUGACGCGACUGGGAUUGACGUUUUUAAUUAUUCGUCAUGAACGAGGAAUUCCUAGUAAACGCGAAUCAUCAGUUCGUGUUGAUUAUGUCCCUGCCCUUUGUACACACCGCCCGUCGCUCCUACCGAUUGAGCGUUUUGGCGAGCACUCUGGAGUGCAGCAAUGCAUAAAUGAAUGCAAACCUGAGCGUUUAGAGGAAGGAUAAGUCGUAACA
rnacentral:rRNA from 1 species